CCUACAGACAGACAGCAUUCACUUCGCUGACACGCUUAAUAAAAUAUUUGGAACUCAGACUCACACUUACAUCCAGUCCCUCAAGGGGUCUCAGAUGUGUUCGUGUUUACCAAGUCACGGGCCCAGGCUGCAGGACUGGAGAUCUUGGCUGAAUCGUGCUAAGCUCCAAACACCACUUGUUGAAGCCCACCAACCCAAGACCACCAGAACAUCCAUCACCAAAAAAGGCCUAGGACUGGAGAUUUUGGCUGAAUCGUGCUGGAACCCCAGCUUGUUGAAGUCAUCAAUCCAAGACCACCAGAACAUCCAUCACCAAAAGAGGCCUCGCGUGGUUUCUGGUUUUGAUUAUGUUUUGCUUUGUUGGAUGGGACCAGCACACACCACUCCUUUGGAAGCAGUGUGUGUCCUUUCCGCCCGUUUCUUCUCUCCCACUUCUUUCGGGCUGGAGUAGGGAUGUGUUUGUCACAGAAAGGCAGACGAGAAAAAUCUACUGUCCCCAAGGAUACGGGGAGCUUCCACCCCAGCUCUGCCUUCUUUCCCACUGGAGAGAAAUAAAAUUCUGUCUUGUUUAA